UACAGAGGGUGCGAGCGUUGUCCGGAAUCACUGGGCGUAAAGGGCGCGUAGGUGGCGCCCCAAGUCAGUGGUGAAAGCUCGAUGCUCAACAUUGAGUCGGCCACUGAGACUGGGGGGCUCGAGCACUGUAGAGGCAGAUGGAAUUCCGGGUGUAGCGGUGGAAUGCGUAGAGAUCCGGAAGAACACCGGUGGCGAAGGCGGUCUGCUGGGCAGUUGCUGACACUGAGGCGCGACAGCGUGGGGAGCAAACAGG
rnacentral:rRNA from 1 species